UUCGCAAUGCCCGAAAGGGUGACGAAGCGACGCCGCGUGCGGGAGGAAGGCCUUCGGGUUGUAAACCGCUGUCGGGAGUUAAGAAAUGCAAGAAUGUUAAUAGCGUUCUUGCUUGACUAAGGCUCCGGAGGAAGCCACGGCUAACUCUGUGCCAGCAGCCGCGGUAAUACAGAGGCGGCAAGCGUUGUUCGGAAUUAUUGGGCGUAAAGAGCACGUAGGCGGCCUUGCAAGUCAGUUGUGAAAGCCUUCCGCUUAACGGAAGAACAGCAGCCGAUACUGCAUGGCUUGAGUGCGGGAGGGGAGAGUGGAACUUCUGGUGGAGCGGUGAAAUGCGUAGAUAUCAGAAGGAACGCCGGCGGCGAAAGCGACUCUCUAGACCGUGACUGACGCUGAGUGUGCGAAAGCUAGGGGAGCAAACGGGAUUAGAUACCCCGGUAGUCCUAGCCGUAAACGAUGGGCACUAAGUAGAGGGGUUUU
rnacentral:rRNA from 1 species